rnacentral:rRNA from 1 species
CAAGUCGAGCGCCCGCAAGGGAGCGGCGGACGGGUGAGUAACGCGUGGGAACGUGCCCUUUGCUACGGAAUAGCCUCGGGAAACUGAGAGUAAUACCGUAUGUGCCCUUCGGGGGAAAGAUUUAUCGGUAAAGGAUCGGCCCGCGUUGGAUUAGCUAGUUGGUGGGGUAAAGGCCUACCAAGGCGACGAUCUAUAGCUGGUCUGAGAGGAUGAUCAGCCACAUUGGGACUGAGACACGGCCCAAACUCCUACGGGAGGCAGCAGUGGGGAAUAUUGGACAAUGGGCGCAAGCCUGAUCCAGCAAUGCCGCGUGCAGGAUGAAGGCCUUCGGGUUGUAAACUGCUUUUGUACGGAGCGAAACGGCUUUCACUAAUACAGGAGGCUAAUGACGGUACCGUAAGAAUAAGCACCGGCUAACUACGUGCCAGCAGCCGCGGUAAUACGUAGGGUGCGAGCGUUAAUCGGAAUUACUGGGCGUAAAGCGUGCGCAGGCGGUUUUGUAAGACAGAUGUGAAAUCCCCGGGCUCAACCUGGGACCUGCAUUUGUGACUGCAAGGCUGGAGUGCGGCAGAGGGGGAUGGAAUUCCGCGUGUAGCAGUGAAAUGCGUAGAUAUGCGGAGGAACACCGAUGGCGAAGGCAAUCCCCUGGGCCUGCACUGACGCUCAUACACGAAAGCGUGGGGAGCAAACAGGAUUAGAUACCCUGGUAGUCCACGCCCUAAACGAUGUCAACUGGUUGUUGGGUCUUCACUGACUCAGUAACGAAGCUAACGCGUGAAGUUGACCGCCUGUGGAGUACGGCCGCAAGGUUGAAACUCACAGGAAUUGACGGGGACCCGCACAAGCGGUGGAUGAUGUGGUUUAAUUCGAUGCAACGCGAAAAACCUUACCCACCUUU